UAAAAAUGUUGUAGCCCCUGCAAUAAUGAAAAGAAGUGCUAUGUACAAAAGACCCACCUAUCUAGAUCUGAAUGCUGUAUAUUUUUUUUAUCAACUUUCAACACAUGAACAAAUUAUUUUAACCAAGAUAAUUGUAUAUUUGUUUGAGACUAUGCUUUAAAUUUUUAUGGAUAUUGUAGAAGAUAUUUUAAAGCUUUCUCUGGAUCAUGAUCUGUGCCAUUUAGGCACAAGGAAUAUAACUUAACAAACUUUGAAGGUUACACACCUUUUGAAUUUAUCAGAAUUUUUUUUCAACAAGAUAAGAAUGCAUCAGUUUUUUUCUAAGAUCUUCAUUCAUUUAUCAUCAAACUAGUUAAUUUUCUCUUAAAUUACGAAUGUUCAUUAGCAUAAAUUAGGGCAAGAAUGGGUGAGUCCAAAAAAGUGCAAUAUCAAUUCAUGAGUUGGUUAAAGCCAUUUAAUCCUCUCCUAGAGACAGCAUAAUCCAAAAUGCAAAAUUAAUUAUUCUGACAUUUUUGUGUUUUAAAUUUUCAAGCUAUAACAUUGAUUAUUUGUUGUUAAAUAAAUUAAAAAAUACUGAGCAAAACUUAUCAAUGGUUUUUAAAGAAUGCAUACAGUACAUGUACCAGUAUAUCUUUUUAUAUCUUAAGAUUUUUAUCAAUGAAGACUUUAAGAGAUACAUUUUUAAACAAAAUGAAAUACAUGUAGAAUUGAUUGAAAGAAACACUUUUAAACUGAUUUCACACAGUAGGGAGAGUACCAGCAUUUAAUUGUUGUAGAAAGUUGUCAUCUGUAUAUGUUGUUUGUGAAUUGUUUGUUGUAAAUCAUGUAAAUGUUGAAAUUUGUACAGUUUUUAUUAUUUAUAUAUUAAAUAGAUUAUAUUCUUUCACAUUUUUAUCAUCAAUUACAUCCAUCAUUUUCAUCAAUAUCUUGGCAAUCUAUGCAAUGUAUCAUGGAAAAAAAUAUGAAGCCAAGAAAAUAAAAGUAAUUUACAUAUAUU
rnacentral:misc_RNA from 1 species